GCUUGUCUCAAAGAUUAAGCCAUGCAUGUCUAAGUAUAAACAAAUCUAUACGUGAAACUGCGAAUGGCUCAUUAUAUCAGUUAUAGUUUAUUUGAUGGUUCAUACUACUUGGAUAACCGUAGUAAUUCUAGAGCUAAUACAUGCGCCAAGUCCCAACUCUUGCGGGGAGGGAUGUAUUUAUUAGAUCCAAAACCAAUGCGGGCUUCACGGCCCGGUGUUGCGGUGAAUCAUAGUAACUUGUCGGAUCGCAUGGCCUCGCGCCGGCGACAGUUCAUUCAAAUUUCUGCCCUAUCAGCUUUCGACGGUAGUGUAG
rnacentral:rRNA from 1 species